rnacentral:rRNA from 1 species
UACGUAGGGUGCGAGCGUUGUCCGGAAUUAUUGGGCGUAAAGGGCUCGUAGGCGGUCUGUCGCGUCGGUAGUGAAAACUCAGGGCUUAACCCUGAGCCUGCUUCCGAUACGGGCAGACUAGAGGUAUGCAGGGGAGAAUGGAAUUCCUGUGUAGCGGUGAAAUGCGCAGAUAUCAGGAGGAACACCGGUGGCGAAGGCGGUUCUCUGGGCAUUACCUGACGCUGAGGAGCGAAAGUGUGGGGGAGCGAACAGG